GGAAUAUUUGAUAUGCAUGGGUGGUCAUUCACGUGACAUGUUGUGCAUGCUUGUCUUCACUGCAGGCUCUUAUGGUGGUAGUGAUGUUAGUGGGAUGUACUCAUCAAGUUAUGGUAGUGAUUACAUGUCCCGUGGAAGUGAUGUUGGUGGUAGCUCUUACUCAUCACUCUACUCUGGACGGAGCAUGGGUGGUAGUAGUUAUAUGGGUAGUGGUGGUUCCGGGUCAUACUAUUGAGAGAUUGGAUUGAGAAGAGGCUUCUACAGAAUGUAAGAUUAUUGGAAGGUUGGGAAUUUUCAUAUUCAAGUUUCGGAUGAAGCAUUGUAUGAGUAUAAAGCCUCUCUGUGGUUCAAUGAGAAGAAACUCAAAGUCAAAUUUUAGUAGUACUGGUGUAUUACAGCAGACCAUCUAAGAUCUGCAUUUAGGAUAUUUUAUCUUGGUACUUCUCUGCUGUAAUGGAACUCUGAGAUUUUCAGAGGUUAAUAGACUUGUUCAAUAUGCGCUACCUUAUAAAUGCAUGUUUAUUAGUGCUCUCUCCUUGAUUUGCUUGUAAAAGAGGUGGUAUGUAACAUUUGCUUCAGAAGGUGAGCAUAAUGGAAAACACUGCAAGCUAUGUUGCAUUUACUUAAGGAC